CAGCAGCCACGGUAAUACGUAGGGUGCGAGCGUUAAUCGGAAUUACUGGGCGUAAAGCGGGCGCAGACGGUUACUUAAGCAGGAUGUGAAAUCCCCGGGCUCAACCUGGGAACUGCGUUCUGAACUGGGUGACUAGAGUGUGUCAGAGGGAGGUAGAAUUCCACGUGUAGCAGUGAAAUGCGUAGAGAUGUGGAGGAAUACCGAUGGCGAAGGCAGCCUCCUGGGAUAACACUGACGUUCAUGCCCGAAAGCGUGGGUAGCAAACAGGAUUAGAUACCCGUGUAGUCCCUGUCUCUUAUAC
rnacentral:rRNA from 1 species